ensembl:lncRNA
GGGAUUGCCAGGCAGCUCCUUCCAGUGCCGUUGGGCCAGGGGAGACCUACGGCCUCUGCUGCAGAUGUCUGCACAUCUGCUGUACCAGAGCUGUAGAAAAAGGGCUGGGUGAAUCAGCCAUAAGUGCUUUGUUUGGUAUUGGGCUUUCCUUCUCCUCUCUGAGCACCGUUUCUAGGAAAGAAGUAAUCAUCUCCAGAUGAUACCCAGAAAAUCUCUCCCGUGGGCCUCUGGGAAAGACCCAAGUGCUAGGACCGGAGCAGCACCACCAGCCCUACUUUCAGCACUUCAUUCAGAACUCCAUCUCAGCAUCAGCCCAUCUCCUCUUCUGCAAUAAUGCCUCCUCCCACCACAGCUCAGCCUGGCUUCACCCCAUCCCAAGGGGCUGAUCUGACAAAGGAGCAGAAGAGCCCAGCAGC